UACGGAGGGGGCUAGUGUUGUUCGGAAUUACUGGGCGUAAAGGGCGCGCAGGCGGCUUGGCAAGUCGAGUGUGAAAUCCCUUAGCUUAACUAAGGAAUAGCGUUCGAAACUACCUCGCUAGAGGACGGGAGAGGGAAGUGGAACUCUCGGUGUAGGGGUGAAAUCUGUAGAUAUCGAGAGGAACACCGGUGGCGAAGGCGGCAUCCUGGACCAACACUGACGCUGAGUGAGCGAAAGCCAGGGGAGCAAACGGG
rnacentral:rRNA from 1 species